rnacentral:rRNA from 1 species
UACGUAGGGGGGCAAGCGUUGUCCGGAAUCAUUGGGCGUAAAGCGCGUGUAGGCGGUCCGGUAAGCCCGCUGUGAAAGUCGGGGGCUCAACCCUCGGAUGCCGGUGGAUACUGUCGGGCUUGAGUACGGAAGAGGCGAGUGGAAUUCCUGGUGUAGCGGUGAAAUGCGCAGAUAUCAGGAGGAACACCCAAUUGCGAAGGCAGCUCGCUGGGACGUUACUGACGCUGAGACGCGAAAGCGUGGGGAGCAAACAGG